rnacentral:rRNA from 1 species
GACUCGUCACACUAUCAUUAACUGAAUCCAUAGGUUAAUGAGGCGAACCGGGGGAACUGAAACAUCUAAGUACCCCGAGGAAAAGAAAUCAACCGAGAUUCCCCCAGUAGCGGCGAGCGAACGGGGAGGAGCCCAGAGCCUGAAUCAGCAUGUGUGUUAGUGGAAGCGUCUGGAAAGGCGCGCGAUACAGGGUGACAGCCCCGUACACAAAAGCGCAUGUGCUGUGAGCUCGAUGAGUAGGGCGGGACACGUGGUAUCCUGUCUGAAUAUGGGGGGACCAUCCUCCAAGGCUAAAUACUCCUGACUGACCGAUAGUGAACCAGUACCGUGAGGGAAAGGCGAAAAGAACCCCGGCGAGGGGAGUGAAAAAGAACCUGAAACCGUGUACGUACAAGCAGUGGGAGCCCCACCACUAAGCCAGUGGUGAACUCCACAUACGCAUCCUUUGCUGAGGAUACGGUUAACGGAGCGAAAGCGACGUUCAACCGCAAAAGAAGCAGAGGGGGCUUAGUGGUGGGGUGACUGCGUACCUUUUGUAUAAUGGGUCAGCGACUUAUAUUCUGUAGCAAGGUUAACCGAAUAGGGGAGCCGGAGGGAAACCGAGUCUUAAU